GGAAUCUUCGGCAAUGGACGAAAGUCUGACCGAGCAACGCCGCGUGAGCGAAGAAGGCCUUCGGGUCGUAAAGCUCUGUUGUUAGAGAAGAACAUGGGUGAGAGUAACUGUUCACCCCUUGACGGUAUCUAACCAGAAAGCCACGGCUAACUACGUGCCAGCAGCCGCGGUAAUACGUAGGUGGCAAGCGUUGUCCGGAAUUAUUGGGCGUAAAGCGCGCGCAGGCGGUCUCUUAAGUCUGAUGUGAAAGCCCCCGGCUCAACCAGGGAGGGUCAUUGGAAACUGGGAGACUUGAGGACAGAAGAGGAGAGUGGAAUUCCAAGUGUAGCGGUGAAAUGCGUAGAUAUUUGGAGGAACACCAGUGGCGAAGGCGGCUCUCUGGUCUGUUACUGACGCUGAGGCGCGAAAGCGUGGGGAGCAAACAGGAUUAGAUACCCUAG
rnacentral:rRNA from 1 species